UAACCUGCCUGAUAAAACUGGGAUAACUCCGGGGAAACCGGGGCCUAAUACCGGGAUGGUUGUCUGAACCGCAUGGUUCAGACAUAAAAGGUGGCUUCGGCUACCACUUACAGAUGGACCCGCGGCGCAUUAGCUAGUUGGUGAGGUAACGGCUCACCAAGGCGACGAUGCGUAGCCGACCUGAGAGGGUGAUCGGCCACACUGGGACUGAGACACGGCCCAGACUCCUACGGGAGGCAGCAGUAGGGAAUCUUCCGCAAUGGACGAAAGUCUGACGGAGCAACGCCGCGUGAGUGAUGAAGGUUUUCGGAUCGUAAAGCUCUGUUGUUAGGGAAGAACAAGUGCCGUUCAAAUAGGGCGGCACCUUGACGGUACCUAACCAGAAAGCCACGGCUAACUACGUGCCAGCAGCCGCGGUAAUACGUAGGUGGCAAGCGUUGUCCGGAAUUAUUGGGCGUAAAGGGCUCGCAGGCGGUUUCUUAAGUCUGAUGUGAAAGCCCCCGGCUCAACCGGGGAGGGUCAUUGGAAACUGGGGAACUUGAGUGCAGAAGAGGAGAGUGGAAUUCCACGUGUAGCGGUGAAAUGCGUAGAGAUGUGGAGGAACACCAGUGGCGAAGGCGACUCUCUGGUCUGUAACUGACGCUGAGGAGCGAAAGCGUGGGGAGCGAACAGGAUUAGAUACCCUGGUAGUCCACGCCGUAACGAUGAGUGCUAAGUGUUAGGGGGUUUCCGCCCCUUAGUGCUGCAGCUAACGCAUUAAGCACUCCGCCUGGGGAGUACGGUCGCAAGACUGAAACUCA
rnacentral:rRNA from 1 species